rnacentral:ncRNA from 1 species
UAGCGGGGAAGGCAGGGCGCAAGCCGGGGGCGCAAAGCCAUGACCCCUGCGUGCAGGGGUGUCAGGCUGCCGAA